rnacentral:rRNA from 1 species
GACGAACGCUGGCGGCGCGCUUAACACAUGCAAGUCGAACGGAAAGGCCUGCUUUCCCUUGUGGAUUGCGGGUACUCGAGUGGCGAACGGGUGAGUAACACGUGAGUGAUCUGCCCCCAACUUGGGUAUAAGCCUGGGAAACUGGGUCUAAUUCCCGAUAGGACUGCAGGGUGGUGCCUGUGGUGGAAAACGAUUUUCUAGUGGUUGGGGAUGAGCUCGCGGCCUAUCAGCUUGUUGGUGGGGUAAUGGCCUACCAAGGCGGCGACGGGUAGCCGGCCUGGGAGGGUGGACGGCCACAUUGGGACUGAGAGACGGCCCAGACUCCUACGGGAGGCAGCAGUGGGGAAUAUUGCACAAUGGGCGGAAGCCUGAUGCAGCGACGCCGCGUGGGGGAUGACGGCCUUCGGGUUGUAAACUCCUUUCGACCGCGAGGAAGCCACCUGGUUGGAAGGGUGGUGAUGGUAGUGGUAGAAGAAGCACCGGCUAACUACGUG